GGAAGUGAUUGCAGCCAAAAUUGUCCUAAAGGUAGCUUUGGUAAACGUUGUCAGAAUUCAUGCAAUUGCAAGUUUCACUGCCAUCCUGUGACUGGAUCUUGCAUUUGCCCUGUUGGAUGGACAAGAUUAACAUGCCAUGAUAAAUGCUUAC